rnacentral:rRNA from 1 species
AUUUGACCUCAAAUCAGGUAGGACUACCCGCUGAACUUAAGCAUAUCAAUAAGCCGGAGGAAA